AGCUGGUGAUCGUUGGUCCCGGCGCCUGAG
rnacentral:piRNA from 1 species